rfam:Rubella virus isolate 6423-ITA97 E1 protein (E1) gene, partial cds.
UACUUGCGCGGCGCUAUAGCGCCGCGCUAGUGGGCCCCCGGGCGAAACCCGCAC